AGUGAACGCUGGCGGUAGGCCUAACACAUGCAAGUCGAACGGCAGCACAGUAAGAGCUUGCUCUUACGGGUGGCGAGUGGCGGACGGGUGAGGAAUACAUCGGAAUCUACUUUUUCGUGGGGGAUAACGUAGGGAAACUUACGCUAAUACCGCAUACAACCUACGGGUGAAAGCAGGGGAUCUUCGGACCUUGCGCGAUUGAAUGAGCCGAUGUCGGAUUAGCUAGUUGGCGGGGUAAAGGCCCACCAAGGCGACGAUCCGUAGCUGGUCUGAGAGGAUGAUAAGCCACACUGGAACUGAGACGCGGUCAAGACUCCUACGGGAGGCAGCAGUGGGGAAUAUUGGACAAUGGGCGCAAGCCUGAUCCAGCCAUACCGCGUGGGUGAAGAAGGCCUUCGGGUUGUAAAGCCCUUUUGUUGGGAAAGAAAAGCAGCAGGUUAAUACCCCGCUGUUCUGACGGUACCCAAAGAAUAAGCACCGGCUAACUUCGUG
rnacentral:rRNA from 1 species